rnacentral:rRNA from 1 species
UACGUAGGGUGCGAGCGUAAUCGGAAUUACUGGGCGUAAAGAGUGCGUAGGCGGUUCGUUAUGUCUGUGGUGAAAGCCCUGGGCUCAACCUAGGAAUGGCCAUGGAAACUGGCGGGCUGGAGUAUGGCAGAGGGGGUGGAAUUCCGCGUGUAGCAGUGAAAUGCGUAGAGAUGCGGAGGAACACCGAUGGCGAAGGCAGCCCCCUGGGCUAAUACUGACGCUGAGGCACGAAAGCGUGGGGAGCAAACAGG